rnacentral:rRNA from 1 species
UACGAAGGGGGCUAGCGUUGCUCGGAAUCACUGGGCGUAAAGCGCACGUAGGCGGAUUUGUUAGUCAGGGGUGAAAUCCCGAGGCUCAACCUCGGAACUGCCUUUGAUACUGCAAAUCUCGAGUCCGGAAGAGGUGAGUGGAAUUCCUAGUGUAGAGGUGAAAUUCGUAGAUAUUAGGAAGAACACCAGUGGCGAAGGCGGCUCACUGGUCCGGUACUGACGCUGAGGUGCGAAAGCGUGGGGAGCAAACAGG